rnacentral:rRNA from 1 species
GAUGAACGCUGGCUACAGGCUUAACACAUGCAAGUCGAGGGGAAACGACGGGGAAGCUUGCUUCCCCGGGCGUCGACCGGCGCACGGGUGAGUAACGCGUAUCCAACCUGCCUCUGACUGAGGGAUAACCCGUCGAAAGUCGGCCUAAUACCUCAUGGUAUCGUCUGCGGGCAUCCAACGACGAUUAAAGAUUUCAUCGGUCAGGGAUGGGGAUGCGUCUGAUUAGCUUGUUGGCGGGGUAACGGCCCACCAAGGCUACGAUCAGUAGGGGUUCUGAGAGGAAGGUUCCCCACAUUGGAACUGAGACACGGUCCAAACUCCUACGGGAGGCAGCAGUGAGGAAUAUUGGUCAAUGGGCGAGAGCCUGAACCAGCCAAGUAGCGUGCAGGAAGACGGCCCUAUGGGUUGUAAACUGCUUUUAUGCGGGGAUAAAGUGAGGGACGUGUCCCUCAUUGCAGGUACCGCAUGAAUAAGGACCGGCUAAUUCCGUG